rnacentral:tRNA from 1 species
GGUGAGAUGGGUGAGUGGCUGAAACCAACAGUUUGCUAAACUGUCGUACGGGCAACCGUACCCCGGGUUCGAAUCCCGGUCUCACCG